rnacentral:lncRNA from 1 species
CUCAGUCUUUGUUCAAUGCUCAGCUUUUUGGAUGUGAGUCCUCUGAGCCGGCCUCCGUGGCACUCAGUAAGCAGCGGGCUCAGGGAGAGCGUCCUGGAUGGUCACCAUGCAGGUAAGAUGAGGAGGACACUUGGAACCAGGCAUUGGAUGCGAGCCCCACCCCAUGGGAGGGGGACGGGGGGAUGCUGGGCACCAGGGGGACCUGUGGGCCAGCUGGCCCUGGGCUUGUGCUUGGGGAGUGAAUGAUGGGUUCUGACCCCCAUGCACCCCUGUGGGCCCCUGGCAUCACUGGCCCCAUCCUUCACCCCUGCCAACCACGCUUGCCCUGUGCCUCUGAAGCUCCCCCACUAAGGGGGUGGAGUCUAAUUCCCUGCCCCUUGACUGUGGGUUCAGCCAUGUGACUUGCUUUGACUGAGGGGAUGUUCACGGGGCAUGUGGUGCUCUGAACUGAGAGCUGCGGUGACCAGGCUGCUGUCCUGUGUUGCUGCCAUCAGUGAGGGUGGCUAGCCUGCUGGUCAGGGGGAGGAUGAGGGAGUGGGGGGCAGAGCUCAGCUGCCCCAGCGGCCUGGCCUGGACCAGCCAACCAAAUGCUGACUCUGUGCUGCUGAGAUCGUGUUUGUGUUUGUUACUCAGCAACUAGCUGAUACACGGUCCCAGCAACAGACAAGGAAGCCCAGAGGUAGCUAAGUGACACUCCCAAGGCUACACAGCAUCUCCUACUGGGAGCUGUGUAAGAAAUGACCCCCCCCAAACCCUCCAUCCUGGCAGCUGAGGGAUGAAGGAGAGACCCAGUCCUCCUGUUGUCCACCUCCUCAAUAUCUAGGUGGGACCCCUACAAUAUCUUGAUUUUUUAAUGUUGACAAUUGUGGUCAGCUGAAAAAUCCCCCCCCCCCCACCCCCACCGCCCUAAAAGAAAAACAGCCCGUGAAGGUGACCUUAUUUGGAAAUAGAGUCUCUGCAGAUAUGAUCAAGUUGAAGGUCUCAAGAUGAGAUCUUUCAGGACUAGUCAUAGGCCCGAAAUCCAAUGGGAAGUGUCCAUAUGUAAGAGGGAGAUGGAGGGAGGUUACACUAAGAUGAAGUGAAGAUGGAGGUGGAGACGGGAGUGAUGUGGGCGUGAGCCAAGGAACUGGAGGCUGGAAGAGGCAGUGAGGGCUCGUCCCCUAAUUCCCCGGAGGGAGCUCAGCCUUGCCGACCCCUUGAUUUCGGCCCAGGGAUACUGAUCUCAGACUUUUGGCCUCCAGGACUGGGAGAGCAUAAAUGUCUUUCUUUUAAGCCACCGAGUUUGUGGGACUUUGUUACCUCAGGAAACAAAUACAACAGUAUAUUCAACACUGUGAAGUGUGCUGUGCCAGGUGGACCGUGCCUGAGGCUGGGCCGGCCUGUGGUCUGCAGCAUUGACCCCUUCUGAGCCCCCUGAGGGAGCCCCUGCCUGCCCCAGGCCAGGGUCUCAGUGCAUCCGGCUGUCUCUGCCGAGGCCGCAGACCCUCCCUCUUGCACCUCCGUGUGCUUGAGAUGAAGAGCCGGCGCUGUGUCCUCAGGCUGCUGAGGGGUAGCCCUUGGGUGGCUGGCCGUGGUCUCAGGGGCAGGAACGGCACAGGGGGCUGAGCAGGGAUUUCAGGUGCUGUCCCUGCCCGACCCUCCCAGUUGGCCCAGCUGACUUCCCCUGCCUGGCUCAGCAGCGAGGGGCCCAGCAGCAGGGAGGUCAGUACCUUGGACAGCGUCCUGCAGCCCCCUGUGAGCCGAGGAGGGCUGUGUGUGUGUGCGUGUGUGUGUGUUUGCACGUGUGCAUGUGUGUGCAUGUGCACAUGUGUGAGUGAGUGGGGGGUGCAGGGUCCCGCAGCUGGCUGGGCCAUGCCUCUUUUGUCUGCCCUGCGGGUGGGUCUGUCAAUACCUGGCUGAGUGGCCAGUGCCGUGGAUGAGUGGCUCUGCCCAGCAUAGGCCUGUGAACUGACCUCUCUGAAUCCUCCUGGGACAGAGGAGUGACAGCGACCCCCAUCCUGGGAAAUGACCCAAGAGAAGGCCUCUGGGGCUCCCUGGAAAGGGCCUCAAGCUGGAUUUUUCAGGUCGUUUGCCAGGCCCUGACCUCUAGGCCUGUAAGCUCCCCACUUGAAGCUGGGAGGGGGGUGCUUCGCAGAUCACCUGACCCUCACCCCCACCACAGGGCCUCACCCUGGGAGUCUGAUUACAAGGAGUGUCCCCCCACCAGGACUCCGGUCCCAGGCCUACAGCAGUUGCCUAAUUGUGAAUGUAAUUAACUGCUCGCACCCUCAAAAUUAGCAAGUGGUUAAUUGUGCCUGUAAUUAUCAACUGCACCCAUGAUUAACCGUGUGAGUGGUUUUUUUUUUUUUUUUGAGACGGAGUCUCGCUCUGUCGCCCAGGCUGGAGUGCAGUGGCGGGACCUCGGCUCACUGCAAGCUCCGCCUCCCGGGUUCACGCCAUUCUCCUGCCUCAGCCUCCCAAGUAGCUGGGACUACAGGCGCCCGCCACUACGCCCGGCUAAUUUUUUGUAUUUUUAGUAGAGACGGGGUUUCACCGUUUUAGCCGGGAUGGUCUCGAUCUCCUGACCUCGUGAUCCGCCCGCCUCGGCCUCCCAAAGUGCUGGGAUUACAGGCGUGAGCCACCGCGCCCGGCCGUGAGUGGUUUUUUGUUAUGCAAGUCAGUGUACAUGUGAAUUGUGCCCCAGGAAAAGGAAGGUGGGGGGGUGCCCAGGGCUGGGG